UGAAGACUCUGAAAGACUAACAAGUUUUAAAGGUUCCCCCCCGCUACCGCCAAUCCUGUCAAUUUUACCAAAGCCUCAAUUUGAUGUCAACAUUUAAAGUCAACGAUUUGAUUUAAAAAGACUGAGCAGACAAUCGACCAAUGAAGCCUUGACUUUGAAAAUCUACGUGACUCAGUGCAAAAUAGUGGGUUUAACUUUAAUUAGGAUCUUAAUUUUUUUUUUUUUAGAUGUUGCCUUGCUCUGUCGCCCAGGCUGGAGUAGCUGUGGUGCGAUCUCGGCUCAUUGUAGCCUCUGCCUCCCGGGUUCCAGCGAGUCUCCUGCCUCAGCCUCCUGGGUAGCUGGGAUUACAGGCGCACGCGACCACGGCCAGCUAAUUUUUGUAUUUUUUAGUAGAGACGAGGUUUCACCAUGUUGGUAAGGCUGGUCUCGAACUCCUGACCUCAGGUGAUCCGCCCGCCUCGGCCUCCCAAAGUGUUGGGAUUACAGGCGUGAGCCACCGCGCCCUGCCAGGGCCUUCAUUUUUUUUGUUGUUGUUGUUUUUUUGCUACCAUUCUUGGGGGCGGCUGAUGAGACAAGCGAAGGAACGACUCCAGGCUGGAGACGGCCCUCAGUGUUGUAAACGCGGGAUUGAGACGCUGCGGGGAGAUGGCCUGCCUUGCGCAAGGGCCUGGGCGGGAGGGCCUGCGCCUGCGCUAGCGAGACUGGCUAGCCACUCCCACUGCACACGGCGAGUCUGGGCGACUGCGCACGCGCGGCUGGUGAGUGGCGGGUUCGGGCGCAGCUGUAGGGUUGGCUGCGCGCCGCCGAGGCGUUUUGGACUGGGUUAGGUGCCUUUUGUGUGUUUGUUUCUCACCUUUUUUCCAGGGUGGUAGUGGUGGAAGAGUUUAAUUAGCAGUGGCUGGCGGAUUCCUGAGGGAAGGAGCUGGCGCCGGCCUGAGAGUGGAUCCUGGUUGCUGUGUUAGGCGCUGUGAAACAGGACUCGGCCUGCUGUCCUUUUCAUCUUUGCCCUCAGAAGUUCGCUGAUGGAGUUUGCGAAAUGCCCAGGCCUGACUGUCCGCUCCUGGAGGGCGGGCACCCGCGGCGCCUGUCGCUGGGGCUUCUGAGGCAGGUCCCUUGCAGGAUGCGGGUGCUGCGAGGUGGAGUAGACUAGGACGCGGGCGGCUUUACUGCAAGCCCUUCUUCAGUGACGCAGCUGUGGAAAGUACUAAUAAAAAUGGAAUUGGCUGGGCAUAAUGGCUCAUGUUUGUAAUCUUAGCACUUUGGGAGAACAAGGUGGGUAGAUCACUUGAAUCGAGGAGUUCAGGACCAGCCUGGGCAACAUGACGAGACCCCCGUCUCUACAAAAAUUAGCUGGACAUGGUAGUGUGCAUCUGUAGUCCCAGCUACUCAGGAGGCUGAGCUGGGGUAAUUGCUUGAGCUGGGGAAUUUGAGGCUGCAGGGAGCCACAAUCGCACCACUGCACUCCAGCCUGGGCAGCAGAGUGAAACCCUGUCUCAAAAAAAAAAAAAAAUUUAUAUGUCAAGGAUAAAUAUAUAUGCAUAUGUGUGUAUGUAUGUGUCUGCAUAUGUAUAUGGACACACUCAUAUACACACACAAACACACUUUUAUUUUUCUUUCAGUUCU
rnacentral:lncRNA from 1 species